rnacentral:ncRNA from 69 species
UGGACGGAGAACUGAUAAGGGC